rnacentral:rRNA from 1 species
UGAAUACGAAAUGCUACGGCAUUGAAGUGAUCUAUGCCAUGCUUCCAAGAAAAUCUCGUCAUAUCUUAAAUAAUAAAUGCCUGUACCUUAAACCGACACAGGUAGGUAGGUAGAGUAUACCAAGGGGCGCGAGAUAACUCUCUCUAAGGAACUCGGCAAAAUAACCUCGUAACUUCGGAAGAAGAGGUACCCUUGAAAAAGGGUUGCAAUAACCAGACCCUGGCGACUGUUUACCAAAAACACAGGUCUCCGCUAAUUCGUAAGAUCAAGUAUGGAGGCUGACGCCUGCCCAGUGCCGGAAGGUUAAAGAAGUUGGUCAAUCUUCGGAUGAAGCUGGCGACUGAAGCCCCGGUAACGGCGGCCGUAACUAUAACGGUCCUAAGGUAGCGAAGUUCCUUGUCGGGUAAGUUCCGACCCGCACGAAAGGCGUAACGAUCAGGGUGCUGUCUCGGAGAGAGACUCGGUGAAAUAGACAUGUCUGUGAAGAUGCGGACUACCUGCACCUGGACAGAAAGACCCUAUGAAGCUUUACUGUAUCUUGGAAUUGGGUUUGGGCCUUGUUUGCGCAGGAUAGGUGGGAGGCUGUGAAGAUAUUCUCGUGGGAAUAUUGGAGCCAACGGUGAGAUACCACUCUAGCAAGGCUAAAAUUCUAACUCUGAACCGUUAUCCGGUCAGAGAACAGUUUCAGGUGGGCAGUUUGACUGGGGCGGUCGCCUCCUAAAAGGUAACGGAGGCGCGCAAAGGUUCCCUCAGGCUGGUUGGACAUCAGUCGUAGAGUGUAAAGGCAUAAGGGAGCUUGACUGCGAGACCCACAAGUCGAGCAGAGACGAAAGUCGGCCUUAGUGAUCCGACGGUUCCACGUGGAAGGGCCGUCGCUCAACGGAUAAAAGUUACUCUAAGGAUAACAGGCUGAUCUCCCCCAAGAGUUCACAUCGACGGGGAGGUUUGGCACCUCGAUGUCGGCUCAUCGCAUCCUGGGGCGGUAGUACGUCCCAAGGGUUGGGCUGUUCGCCCAUGAAAGCGGUACGCGAGCCGGGUUCAGAACGUCGUGAGACAGUUCGGUCCAUAUCCGGUGCAGGCGUUAGAGCAUUGAAAGGAGUCCCCCUUAGUACGAGAGGACCGGGGGGAAUACACCGCUGGUGUACCAGUUAUCGUGCCAACGGUAAACGCUGGGUAGCCAUGUGUAGCGUGGAUAACUGCUGAAAGCAUCUAAGUAGGAAGCCCACCUUAAGAUGAGUGCUCUCACCGCUAUAAGCGGGUAAGGUCACGGUAAGAACAACCGUUAUAUAGGCAUUAAGUAUACAUGCAGUAAUGCAUUUAGCUGAGAUGUACUAACAGACCGAGGGCUUGAUGC